CUAACAUGCCCGCAAGUGUUUGGGUGUCAAACCCAAGCGCGUAAUGAAAGUGAAAGUUGAGAUCCCUGUCAUAGGGAGCAUCGAUGCCCAGACCAGACCUUUUGUGAUGGAUCUGCGGUAGAGCAUGUAUGUUGG
rnacentral:ncRNA from 1 species